CCUACGGGAGGCAGCAGUGAGGAAUAUUGGUCAAUGGGCGGAAGCUUGAACCAGCCAAGUCGCGUGAGGGAAUAAGGCCCUACGGGUCGUAAACCUCUUUUGCCGGGGAGUAAGGGCGGGGACGUGUCCCGGCCUGGAGAGUACCCGGAGAUAAAGCAUCGGCUAACCCCGUCCCAGCAGCCGCGGUAAUAGGGGGGAUGCGGGGUUUACCCGGUUUAUUUGGGUUUAAGGGAUGCGAAGGCGGUGCGUUAGGUAAUGGUGCAAAUUGGGGGGCUCAACCCCUAACCGCCAUUGAAACUGGCGCUCUUGAGUGGAAGAGAGGUAUGCGGAAUGCGUGGUGUAGCGGUGAAAUGCAUAGAUAUCACGCAGAACCCCGAUUGCGAAGGCAGCAUGCCGGCUUCCGACUGACGCUGAAGCACGAAAGCGUGGGGAUCGAACAGGAUUAGAUACCCCGGUAGUC
rnacentral:rRNA from 1 species